UGGGGAAUAUUGGACAAUGGGCGAAAGCCUGAUCCAGCCAUGCCGCGUGAGUGACGAAGGCCUUAGGGUUGUAAAACUCUUUCGUCGGGGACGAUAAUGACGGUACCCGAAGAAGAAGCUCCGGCUAACUUCGUGCCAGCAGCCGCGGUAAUACGAAGGGAGCUAGCGUUGUUCGGAAUUACUGGGCGUAAAGCGCACGUAGGCGGACUGAUAAGUCAGGGGUGAAAUCCCGGGGCUCAACCUCGGAACUGCCUUUGAUACUGUUAGUCUCGAGUCCGGAAGAGGUGAGUGGAAUUCCUAGUGUAGAGGUGAAAUUCGUAGAUAUUAGGAAGAACACCAGUGGCGAAGGCGGCUCACUGGUCCGGUACUGACGCUGAGGUGCGAAAGCGUGGGGAGCAAACAGGAUUAGAUACCCAUGUAGUCCCUGAGCGGGCUGGCAAGGCGCAU
rnacentral:rRNA from 1 species